GGUGACAUUAGCGAAGAGGCCACACCCGUUCCCAUCCCGAACACGGAAGUUAAGCUCUUCAGCGGCGAUGGUACUGCAGCGGAAGGCUGUGGGAGAGUAGCACGUCGCC
rnacentral:rRNA from 1 species